rnacentral:rRNA from 1 species
GACGAACGCUGGCGGCGUGCUUAAUACAUGCAAGUCGAACGGAAAGGGCCUGCUUGCGUGGGCUGCGCGAGUGUCGAACGGGUGAGUAACACUAGAGUAACCUUCCCUUGACUCUUGGAUAACUUCAGGAAACUGGAGCGAAUACCGGAUAGGAGCUCCACCUGCAUUGACAUGGUUCGAAAGUGUCGGCGGGCGCGGAUUGACUCGCGGCUUAUCAGCUUGUGUGUGGGGGAGUGGCGUACCAAGGCUUGGACGGCUAGGCGGCAUGAGAGGGGGGCCGGCGACAUUGGGACUGAGAUACGGAGCAGACUCCUACGGGCGGCAGCAGUGGGGAAUAUUGCACAAUGGGCGGAAGCCUGAUGCAGCAGCGCCGCGUGCGGGAUGACGGCCUUUGGGUUGUAAACCGCUUACGCCUGUGCCGAAGCGUGUGUGACGGUAAUGGGUAAAGAAGCACCGGCUAACUACGUG